rnacentral:misc_RNA from 1 species
CCAAACAAAGCAGCAAUGCCAGCAUCUUCGACUUUCAGCUCCUGUCUAUUCUUCCAUAAAUUCUUCACAUAGUCAAGUUCCUUCCAAAAUGAUUCACAACGAUUGGGAAUACUAGCAAGUCGAGUGUAGAACAACUGCUUUGACAACAAGUUGCACUUCUCAACAGUGGGAGGUUCCUGAAUAUAUUGCUUAUUCUGCUCCAACAACUGCUUGUAGUAGGCAGUUCCAUGCUUAGACACAAACUUAGAAGCUUCACA